GAUGAACGCUGGCGGCGUGCCUAACACAUGCAAGUCGAACGGACUCUUAUUUCGAUUUUAUUUUUAUAUAUCGAAAGCUGACAUACUGUUUGGGAGCGCCUCGACGACCGUUUGCGGUUGGAGCGAAGCGACCAAGCACGUAUGUCAGCUUACUUUAGAGUUAGUGGCGGACGGGUGAGUAACACGUUAGUACCUGCCCUCUAGUGGGGGAUAACUGCCCGAAAGGGUAGCUAAUACCGCAUGUGAUCACUUGUGAUCAAAGCAGCAAUGCGCUAGAGGAGGGGCUUGCGUCUGAUUAGCUUGGUUGGGCGGGGUAAUACGCCCACCAAGGCGACGAUUAGUAGCUGGUUCGAGAGGAUGACCAGCCACAC
rnacentral:rRNA from 1 species